rnacentral:lncRNA from 1 species
AUGAACAAAAUCUUAAAUAUGAUGUUUGUUUUUAAAAUGCUUCAUUAUCAUUUUCCAUGACCUAUGUGUUUAUCAAUUUGUUUUCAUGUUUUCAAUUUAUGCAAUUAUUUUUCACUUAUAAGUUUUUUGUUUCAGUCUCAGUACAGCAUGAUGGUUUAAACUUGUGGAUUUUAAAAAACUUUUAAUUUUCAGUUUUCUAAUGAAACAUUUGAUCAGAUUAAUAUUUCAUAUCAAAUAUAAUUUUUUCAACAAACAGUCACAUUCAUUAUUUUAUUUGUAUAAUGCUUAUUUCUUGCAAAUUGAGAACAGAAAAAAAUCAUAAAUUAAUAGAUUGUUUCCCUUUUAAAUGGAUGUUUCAAAUUAAUUUUACUUAUAAAUGAUAUAUACCUUUUUAUUCACAUAAUUUUAUACAUAAAUUGUAUGAUUUCUUUUAAAAAGAAAUGACAAGGGGAGGAAGACAAAGUAAAGGGCUUUUUAGAAUGAGAGGUACUUAAUAUUUAAUUUUUGUUAUGCAUUGAAUUUUAUAUGGGUAUUUACUUUACCUCUUUUUAAAGAAUUUUUAUCUACAUCCAUCAUGUCUUAUUAGAAAUGCCUCCAAAUGUUCCUGGAAAAUUCUUUGAUAAUUUAGAUAAUUACAAACCAACACAUGAUGUGGGUUAUUGUGUGGUAGGGUGAAAUUUGUGUGAGUGCAAAAAAUACCUUGAAUUCUUGAUUCUGAUCUCUAAUGGGUGAGAGUUGUCAUAAAAUAAUUUUGUGAGGUAUAAUCAUUUUGUUUUUAUUAAAGACUUAUACCAGUAUUGUGCAUCAUAUCUUCUGAAAAAAAAUAAAGAUCUGAAUUGUAGAUUUUUUUUUACAUCAAUGGCAUUUAUAGAUAAGAAAUGUACUAUUUCUAAUUUUUCUAAACCCUAACAUGACUAAAUAAUAAAGUCACCUAUUUUUUAUUUCUGUAAGACCUACCUACAUCCUUCAAAAGGAGAAUCUUUAGUGCCAGUUUUCUAAUGGUUGUAGAGUAAGACUUUGGUUUGCUUGCUUGCAUUUUUUGUAAGUUAUUUGAGUUAAACUUGUAUACAACAUAUACUUAAAUUUGAUUAGAAGCUAGUAAGACUGAAGUGUACAUGUAAAAAGGUUAAAUAUAAAAAAGAAGAUGUGGUAUGAUUGCCAAUGAGAAAAUUCCACUUGCCUAUAUUGUUUUCAUUUGUCUAUCUUAAUAACAUUGCAUGAGAAAAGUCAACUAAAGUCUUACCCUACACACGUUAGGAAAUUAGCUCUAAAAAUGUUUUUCACUGUUUUCAAUACAGAAUACAAUAUUUUAAUAUGUUUAAGUGUGUUUAUUAAGUGAAAGUCUGAUACUGAUAGAAGGACCAAAGAUUUACAUAAUGCCAUAUGUCCAUAAUAUAUUUUUGUUUAUAGUAUAUGGAUUUUAAUGUGUCUAACAUACAUGUAUCUCUUAUUAUAUUUUAAUUUUUUAUUUUGAAUCUUUGAAUACAGGAAGUUAUUUUUCAAUAUAAAUUUCACUAGCAUUUACAUGUAUACUUAAAUUUUGAUGUUGAUUCUAUGGUAUAUGAGGCAGGUGUUACCUAUAAACGAUGAUUAAGUCUGUAUUAGUUUUGUGAUGUACUUUGGUAAUCAGUAAAGAUGGCAACAAGUACUAGAGUACACUAGGAAUCUCUCUCUCUCUCUAAAGAUGAAACACUCAAUGUGUCAAUUUCAUGCUCAGAUAUUGAAAAAAACAUUUUUGAUGUGUUUCCCUGAGCCAUAUUUAAAAUUUUCUCCUUAUUACAAUAAAAGAGACAAUCACUAAAGCUGGCCUCGGGAUGCAGGAUUUUCUCGCUAUGUUGACGACCCAUUGAUGGCCCUUUCCAUUCUCUAUUUUACUGUUAAUUUAGAUAGCAAAUUAAGCGGUACAAAAGUAAAGCUGUUACAAAUGUUUUCUUAAAAAAAGUUCAAUUUAGGAUUUGCUAGCUACUCUAGUGCUGUCAACUCAUUUAUUUCAGUGGGUAUCAAAUUUUAUUGAAUGAGGAACAAUUGUUUGUUUUUCCUGGAUAUUUGUUUUCAUAGUUUUGAAGAAGUUUGCUAACAAACCUACAAAUUAUAACACAUGUAUUAAGAAAAAAAUGCUUAAUUGUAUAUAUAUAUAUAUACGACAAGAAAAAAAGUCCCAAAAUUGUAGUAAAUGGUAUUUUUGUUUUUCGUAUGAGCAUAAUCAAAACAUGCUUCUUUGAAAGCAAAUGCUUGUCUGUAGCUAUGCAUCAUGGCAGAUAUUUUGUGCUAGUUUUCUUUUUAUAAUAUCAUUUUCUUAUUUAUGAUGGUUAUUAUUUCUUAGAAUAAUUUUAUUUUGAUGUAUUGUUUAUAGAUAGAUAUUUAUAUAUAUUUUAAUAUAUACAAAGUGACCUAUAUAGUUGCUAAUUCCUGCUGUAUUGUUUUAAUUGACAUCACAUUGAUUGAUUGAUUGAUUGAUUGAUUUUUUCUUACUGAAUGUCCACUGACAAAUAUUCCUUCCAUAUUCAGGAUGAUAAAAUGAUAGUCAUAAAGUAUGGGUGAAGACUCAUUUGAAUGGAAAAUCAUGGAAAUGGCUUGUGACUUAUAGGACACACAUUAUUUAUUAAUAUUUGCUCCAAAUUACUUGAAAAUGACUAAUUUAAUUUGUUGUAUGGACAAUAAACCUUGAAAUCACCUCUAAUCCUUAUAUUUUAAUGUUUUAUUAUUUAUUUGGCUUUUACUUAUAGGCUUGAAGUACGUUUUAGUCGGGAAUUAACCUGAUAGCAAGCUUAUGACAUAAUAUAAUUAUGAUAUGAAAUAGUUGGUUUAUUUUACAAAUAUUUUUUUAAAUGUUUCAAUUAGUGUCAUGUUUUAUUCCUUCAGAAUCUUCAUAUCAUGACAUUACUAAUUGUAACCAUCUGAAUAUUUUCAUGCUGUUUAUAUAUAUGCUAUACUUUAUGGUAAAGUAUGUUUUUGAAUGUGUUUAUGUGUCUUGUUAAAUAAACAGUUGCUUUUGUUGAAUAUGCAAUUAUUUCUCUAGUAUAUGUUAAAAGAUGUAGUAUAAGUGCCAUUGAGUCAACUUUCCUUCCAAUUCACAAACUGUUAAGGUAAAUCAUUAUAGGUCAAAUUUAGGCCUUCAAAACGGAACCUUGGAUAACACUGAACAGCAAGCUAUAAAGGGCCCCAAAAAUUACUAGUGUAAAACCAUUCGAACAGUCUAAUAUAUAUAAAAAUGAGAAACAAGUAACACUAAUGAACCACAUCAAUAAACAACAACCACUGAAACAACAGGUUCCGGACGUAGGACUGUAUAUAUUACACGAACUCUUAAAAAGAACAAAAAGAGAGUAUUGUAUACAUCAAUACAACACUGAACAAUGUACAAUGACACAAUAUGUAAAAAGAAGUCUACAGAGAUUUUGGUGCAUGGUUCAAUUGAAAUUUUUUAUAGAUAGAAAUAACCUAAGGGAGCAAAGAUAUUCAUAAUAUUGAGAUUUACCUAAUGUCUUUUUGCAUCAACACCGUCAGUAGAUAUUCAUAGACAGCAGGAAUAAAUUUUGUACGACAGACGCA